UCUGAAACCGGAGGGUUAGGACGUCAACAACAGCCAACAAAUUAUUAGAAAUGAAGACCAUUUGUGAAAUGAAGAUUUUCAGGUUCCUGGCCACAUAUGUUCUCAUGUAUUUUCGAACGGACUUUCUCUGACUGUUGAAAAUCCGUGAACGAGGUUAUCAGAGAGGUGCGAUAAGAGAGGAAAACGGAGAGGAAGAGAAGCAGCCCGACGCGGUGUGAAGGAAUGGAAUAAACCCCGGAGCAGAACCAGAGGAAGGAGGGAUGACUGCCGUGAGAUGAAAGAGGGAUAGAGCAGGUCACAGAACAACUCGAGAGACCAUUCAGCUGUGAAGAGACAGAAGAAGCCAGAAGAUCACACAAACACACCCAAAGAGGACGAGACCAAGAGGAAGCAGAGAAGAUGUCUGCAUUAAUUUCCAAGCGUUCAGUCUCUCUACAUAUAUUUCACGUGGGUGAGCAAUAUGAGAUGGUUUCAGUCUUUUAAGUGUAAUAAAACACUCAAAGUUAAAUAGCCAUCCUCUUAUAACAACAGGUAAAUGGAGGCGUCUGAAAAGUGACUUUAAGACAUGAGGGACAAUGGCCAUGUCUUUGUGGUGUCCUUCUAGCUCUGAGAGAGAGAGAGAGAGAGAAUAAAAGAGGGAUGAGAGAGAGAAUUAAAAGAGGGAUGGAGAAUAAAAGAGGGACGGAGAGAGAAUAAAAGAGGGACAGAGAGAAUAAAAGAGGGAAGAGAGAGAGUGAAUAAAACAAGAAUGAGCGGGAGAAUAAAAGAGUGAUGAAGAGUGAGAAUAAAAGAGGGAUGGGAGAGAAUAGAGGUAUGGAGAGAGGGGGAGAAUACAUGUGGGCGAGAUAAUAAAGGAGGGAUGGAGAGAGAGAAUAAGAGGGAUGAGCGAGAAAUAGGGAGAAUAAAAGAGGGAUGGAGAGGGAGCAAUAGAGAGGCCCAGCUGCUCAUUGCCAUGGCCGGACUAACUGCCUUUGGGGCCCGGGGCACCGACCUCCAGGCGGGUCUCUUUUGAGAAACUGCAUUUCAACACAUAUUAUGUGUUGAAGAAAAAGCUGUUUUGCAAUAGUAUUCUACACAUUUCUCUACACAAGAGAACAUUUUAGUUUUUCUGUUUUUAUAGCUCAUCUCAUGCUAUUGUUCAUAUUUUGCCAUGAGGCUGAGAGAAAGUUUUGAAGUUUUAUAGCUAAUUUUCUGCAAUUCUACACAUUUUGCUAUCUGGGUGGUGGCCCCCGACCUCCAUUCGGUAAUCCAGCCCUGCCUAUUGCUCUCCUCAUCUUUCCUCAUCUCGAAGCAGCAAACUGUCAGCCCGACUGUCAGCCCGACUCACCAUCAGGC